UACGGAGGGGGCGAGCGUUAUUCGGAAUUAUUGGGCGUAAAGGGCGCGUAGGCGGCUGUACAAGUCAAAGGUGAAAUCCCUCGGCUCAACUGAGGAACUGCCUUUGAAACUGUACGGCUUGAGGCCGGGAGGGGGUAGCGGAAUUCCCAGUGUAGCGGUGAAAUGCGCAGAUAUCAGGAAGAACACCCGUGGCGAAGGCGGCUCUCUGGGACGGUACUGACGCUGAGACGCGAAAGCGUGGGGAGCGAACAGG
rnacentral:rRNA from 1 species